GACGAACGCUGGCGGCGUGCUUAACACAUGCAAGUCGAGCGGUAAGGCCUUUCGGGGUACACGAGCGGCGAACGGGUGAGUAACACGUGGGUGAUCUGCCCUGCACUUCGGGAUAAGCCUGGGAAACUGGGUCUAAUACCGGAUAUGACCUCCUAUCGCAUGGUGGGUGGUGGAAAGAUUUAUCGGUGCAGGAUGGGCCCGCGGCCUAUCAGCUUGUUGGUGGGGUAAUGGCCUACCAAGGCGACGACGGGUAGCCGACCUGAGAGGGUGACCGGCCACACUGGGACUGAGACACGGCCCAGACUCCUACGGGAGGCGGCAGUGGGGAAUAUUGCACAAUGGGCGAAAGCCUGAUGCAGCGACGCCGCGUGAGGGAUGACGGCCUUCGGGUUGUAAACCUCUUUCAGCAGGGACGAAGCGCAAGUGACGGUACCUGCAGAAGAAGCACCGGCUAACUACGUG
rnacentral:rRNA from 1 species